ensembl:misc_RNA Metazoa_SRP Metazoan signal recognition particle RNA
GACGGGCACAGAGUUGCAUGCCUGUAGUCCUAGCUACUCAGAAGGCUGGGGUGGGAAGAUCGCUUGAGUCCAGGAGAUUUGAGCCGUAGUGUGCUAUGCUGUGGGUGUCCACACUAAGUUCAGCAUCAAUAUGGUGACCUCCUGGGAACGGGGGACCACCCCGUACUUAGGUUGCCUAAGUAGGGAUGAACUGGUCCAGGUCGGAAACUGAGCAGGUCAAAACUCCCCAGCUGGUCAGUAGUAGGACACCACCUGUGAAUAGCCACUGCACUCCAGUCUGGCCAACAUAGCAAGACCCUGUCUCUU